rnacentral:rRNA from 1 species
GUGCCAGCAGCCGCGGUAAGACAGAGGGUGCAAACGUUGUUCGGAAUUACUGGGCGUAAAGCGCGUGUAGGCUGCUGCGAAAGUCAGGUGUGAAAGCCCCGGGCUCAACCUGGGAAGUGCACUUGAAACCUCGCAGCUCGAAUGCCGGAGAGGGUAGCGGAAUUCUCGGUGUAGAGGUGAAAUUCGUAGAUAUCGAGAGGAACACCGGUGGCGAAGGCGGCUACCUGGACGGCUAUUGACGCUGAGACGCGAAAGCGUGGGGAGCAAACAGGAUUAGAUACCCUGGUAGUCC